rnacentral:rRNA from 1 species
GACGGAGGGUGCAAACGUUGUUCGGAAUUACUGGGCGUAAAGCGCGUGUAGGCGGCCCUGCAAGUCGGGUGUGAAAUCCCACGGCUCAACCGUGGAAGUGCACUCGAAACUGCAGGGCUAGAGUCCUGGAGAGGAAGGUGGAAUGCUUGGUGUAGAGGUGAAAUUCGUAGAUAUCAAGCGGAACACCGGUGGCGAAGGCGGCCUUCUGGACAGUGACUGACGCUGAGACGCGAAAGCGUGGGGAGCAAACAGG